rnacentral:rRNA from 1 species
UGGGGAAUAUUGGACAAUGGGCGCAAGCCUGAUCCAGCCAUGCCGCGUGAGUGAUGAAGGCCCUAGGGUUGUAAAGCUCUUUCACCGGUGAAGAUAAUGACGGUAACCGGAGAAGAAGCCCCGGCUAACUUCGUGCCAGCAGCCGCGGUAAUACGAAGGGGGCUAGCGUUGUUCGGAUUUACUGGGCGUAAAGCGCACGUAGGCGGACUUUUAAGUCAGGGGUGAAAUCCCGGGGCUCAACCCCGGAACUGCCUUUGAUACUGGAAGUCUUGAGUAUGGUAGAGGUGAGUGGAAUUCCGAGUGUAGAGGUGAAAUUCGUAGAUAUUCGGAGGAACACCAGUGGCGAAGGCGGCUCACUGGACCAUUACUGACGCUGAGGUGCGAAAGCGUGGGGAGCAAAACAGGAUUAGAUACCCUGGUAGUCCACGCCGUAAACGAUGAAUGUUAGCCGUUGGGGAGUUUAACUCUUCGGUGGCGCAGCUAACGCAUU